GGUAGACACAAACUCAUAGCCCUGUAGAUCAUGAUUUAGGGACAUUAUACGCCAAUUAUCCUUCAGAGCGGGCUCAUCAAAACUGGCAACCGUAUAGCAAAAACGAUGAUAGUUGUAGGUGAUAUUCUCGUUGGCCAACGCUGAAAUUACCUCAUC